UACAGAGGGGGCAAGCGUUAUUCGGAAUUAUCGGGCGUAAAGGGCGCGUAGGCGGCUUUUCAAGUGACGGGUGAAAUCCCUCGGCUUAACCGAGGAACUGCCUGUCAGACUGGAAGGCUUGAGACCGGGAGAGGUGAGUGGAAUUCCCAGUGUAGCGGUGAAAUGCGUAGAUAUUGGGAGGAACACCAGUGGCGAAGGCGGCUCACUGGACCGGAACUGACGCUGAGGCGCGAAAGCGUGGGGAGCAAACAGG
rnacentral:rRNA from 1 species